AGAGUUUGAUCCUGGCUCAGAUUGAACGCUGGCGGUAUGCUUUACACAUGCAAGUCGAACGGAUUAAGAAGCUUGCUUUUUAGUUAGUGGCGAACGGGUGAGUAAUAUAUCGGAACAUAUCCGGAAGUGGGGGAUAACGUAGCGAAAGUUACGCUAAUACCGCAUAUGCCCUGAGGGGGAAAGGGGGGGAUCGCAAGACCUCUCGCUUUCGGAGUGGCCGAUAUCGGAUUAGCUAGUAGGUGAGGUAAAGGCUCACCUAGGCGACGAUCCGUAGCGGGUCUGAGAGGACGACCCGCCACACUGGAACUGAGACACGGUCCAGACUCCUACGGGAGGCAGCAGUGGGGAAUUUUGGACAAUGGGCGAAAGCCUGAUCCAGCCAUACCGCGUGAGUGAAGAAGGCCUUCGGGUUGUAAAGCUCUUUCAGCCGGAAAGAAAUCGUAUCUAUUAAUACUAGAUGCGGAUGACGGUACCGGAAGAAGAAGCACCGGCUAACUACGUGCCAGCAGCCGCGGUAAA
rnacentral:rRNA from 1 species